UAUUAGUGCACAUGGUUAGAGAGAGAUCUGUGAGCUCUGGUUGGUCAUUUGUUUGCUUGAGUGAAGAGGAUCUGGCAAUCAUGGGGUGAACUCAGAAUGUGAGCCAUGGGCGAGGCUAGCCCCUUUUUAGGGGUGCUUCAGCACACCUAAUACUUGUAGUAACAAAUGUUAUUCUUUUACAUGGUUAAAUAACGUCCAAAACAUACUCCGUAGUUUGUGGUUUAAAAUGUGUGUCAAGGAUGAAAAUGAAAACAUCCCCCUUAGCAAAUGGUGUCAUCCUCUUCUGUACUUCUACUCCUCUGCACCUGCACCGCUCAGCACGACCGUCAUCCAGCGCGAAACACACUCAGAAGUUGUUCCGAUUCCAAAACCAUAUCGCGAGUCACCGCCGCUGUGGAGUAGCACAGGACCUGGGUGACACGUCCAUAGUCAUAAACGGAGAGAAGUAGCGCCGGUUACAAUGUUCUUCCGCAAGACGCAUGGCGUUCUGUUUAUUAUUAACUGCUAGUGCGUGAAACAAAAACAGCAGCGUGACAAAUAAACUGCGUACAUGUGUACGUUUGUCUCUGUUGGUCAAGUUUAUCGUUAAUUUGAUAGAUGGCCAUUUGUAAAUAAUUUACAGAAUAUGAUUUACAUUUUGGUGUCCAAGUAUCUGUUACUUUGUUCAGUGACAAUAAAGUUGAAUCUAAUUAAACCAA